UGCCUACGGGAGGCUGCAGUGGGGAAUAUUGCACAAUGGGGGAAACCCUGAUGCAGCGACGCCGCGUGAGCGAUGAAGCCCUUCGGGGUGUAAAGCUCUUUCGGCAGGGAAGAUGAUGACGGUACCUGCAGAAGCAGCUGCGGCUAACUACGUGCCAGCAGCCGCGGUAAUACGUAGGCAGCAAGCGUUGUUCGGAGUUACUGGGCGUAAAGGGUGUGUAGGCGGUUCCUUAAGUUUGUUGUGAAAUCUCCCGGCUCAACUGGGAGGGUGCGGCGAAUACUGAGGGGCUAGAGUGCGGGAGAGGAAAGUGGAAUUCCUGGUGUAGCGGUGAAAUGCGUAGAUAUCAGGAGGAACACCGGUGGUGUAGACGGCUUUCUGGACCGCAACUGACGCUGAGACACGAAAGCGUGGGUAGCAAACAGGAUUAGAUACCCGUGUAGUC
rnacentral:rRNA from 1 species